rnacentral:rRNA from 1 species
AUUGAACGCUGGCGGCAUGCCUAACACAUGCAAGUCGAGCGGCAGCGGGAAAGUAGCUUGCUACUUUUGCCGGCGAGCGGCGGACGGGUGAGUAAUGCCUGGGGAUCUGCCCAGUCGAGGGGGAUGACUACUGGAAACGGUAGCUAAUACCGCAUACGCCCUACGGGGGAAAGCAGGGGACCUUCGGGCCUUGCGCGAUUGGAUGAACCCAGGUGGGAUUAGCUAGUUGGUGAGGUAACGGCUCACCAAGGCGACGAUCCCUAGCUGGUCGGGGAGGAUUAUCAGCCACACUGGAACUGAGACACGGUCCAGACUACUACGGGAGGCAGCAGUGGGGAAUAUUGCACAAUGGGGGAAACCCUGAUGCAGCCAUGCCGCGUGUGUGAAGAAGGCCUUCGGGUUGUAAAGCACUUUCAGCGAGGAGGAAAGGUUGGUAGCUAAUAACUGCCAGCUGUGACGUUACUCGCAGAAGAAGCACCGGCUAACUCCGUGCCAGCCGCCGCGGUAAAAC